rnacentral:rRNA from 1 species
UACGUAGGGAGCAAGCGUUGUCCGGAAUUACUGGGCGUAAAGAGCUCGUAGGUGGUUUGUCGCGUUGUUCGUGAAAACCGGAGGCUUAACCUUCGGCGUGCGGGCGAUACGGGCAGACUGGAGUACUGCAGGGGAGACUGGAAUUCCUGGUGUAGCGGUGGAAUGCGCAGAUAUCAGGAGGAACACCGGUGGCGAAGGCGGGUCUCUGGGCAGUAACUGACGCUGAGGAGCGAAAGCGUGGGGAGCGAACAGG